rnacentral:ribozyme from 1 species
CGGGGUUUUCUUUCUGUAAUGGACUUCUUGAAGGUCCUAUGGGCUCUCCUACUCUACUACUAUUCCAUCACGACCUCGUCGUGCAGAGUGGAAGCAUGUGCAACUGUAUGCCUAAGGUUCGGUGUACGGGCUAUUCCCAACCCCUUGGGCGUAAGGUGCUUGGCAGGUGGAGCAGAAUGAG